rnacentral:rRNA from 1 species
GACAGAGGAUGCAAGCGUUAUCCGGAAUGAUUGGGCGUAAAGCGUCUGUAGGUGGCUUUCAAGUCCGCCGUCAAAUCCCAGGGCUCAACCCUGGACAGGCGGUGGAAACUACCAAGCUGGAGUACGGUAGGGCAGAGGGAAUUUCCGGUGGAGCGGUGAAAUGCAUUGAGAUCGGAAAGAACACCAACGGCGAAAGCACUACUGCUGG